UUUGUACUUCCUCCAUCCCAAAAUUCUUGUCUUAAAUUUGUCUAAAUACGGAUGUAUCUAGUUACAUUUUAGUGUUAGAUACAUCCAUAUCUAAACAAAUGUAAGACAAGAAUUUUGGGACGGAGGGAAUACUAC
rfam:Triticum aestivum genome assembly, contig: Triticum_aestivum_CS42_TGACv1_scaffold_431329_5BS